ACCCUAAUUCCUCUUUGACCAAACAUUAACUCCAUUCCCUCACAUAUUCACAUCGAUCUGUCUUGUGUUCACUCUCACAACCAUAUCACAAAAUAUCGCCGCCAGUAGGUUUCCAGAAGCCGGCGAACCAACACACGCACCACCGCGUCCACGAGAAUCUCUAUCCCACCAUCUUCGUUGUAGUACACCUCAACACCCCAUCUGCUUCGCUCCAUCUCCGACCUUGCCUAGACGCCAUCAUCAACCACAUCAAUCUAGCUAUCAAUUCGGCUUCUCCUUCUGAUUUCGAUUCAAACAUCCUUCGUCUUACCCAUUUAUUAGUUAGUAAACUCUAUUCCUAGGGUUUCAGUGAUUUUUUUUUUAAUGAAACCAUUCAUUUCUCCUUCUGAUUCCGAUUCAAACAUCCUUCAUCUUACCCAUUUAUCGAUGACCAUCUAUUUUUCCUCCUCUUGUGCCAAGGAAAGAUGAUGAUAGGAAGAUCAUUAUACGACUUUAUAGUAAAGGGCUCAUUCCUCCCAUUGAAGUUGCGAAGGCCAUUAAUUAUGCAAUACGAAAUCAGUGACUAGUUCUUGAAAUUCUUCGAUCAAAAUAAGACCACCGAGCUUCGUCAAGAGGCAGAGCGGUCUACACCUCAGGCCGCAAGGAUCAUAUUGAAGUGGCACUUGAACUUGUAUUCUGGACAUGGGACAAGAUUACAUGACUUGACAUGGUGUGGUGUAAGCAAAUACUCAACAUUACUUGAUUAUAUCAUUCUUUUUGGUGAGAAAAAGAUAGUAUGAAAGAAUCAAGAACAAUCUAAGUGAGGCUAAUGUGCUAUUAGCAUGAUUGGACAUGUGGAAUCAAAGCAAGAUUAAGAGUGUAUUCUAAGUUGUUCAAACUUUGUCAUCCACUUCCAUAUGUGGCAUUAUACACACAAAGCUCAUUGUGGGAGAGUUUUUUGCAUACUCAUUGCUAUAUUUUUCAUGCAGCAAGCUAUCCAAGUAAGACAAUGAUAAUGUUUAACUAUCUUAAAUGUGUUGAUAUGUUAGACUAUCUUAGACUUUCUUUGAUAAUGUGUUGAUAGCUUGCCAUAGUUGCUGAUAAUGCAUGUGUUGAUAGCUUGUCUCAAUAUUAUUCAUUUUGGUUUUGUUAGUUAUCUCUGUUUUAAGCACAUAUAUAUUUUCCAGUAAUGAAUAGAGUCGUUCAUGGGUUCAUGAGCUAUUGAAGCCAUCUGGGGUAUGCUUAGAUACUUGUUUGCUUCUAAACUAUUAUGGUAGACUAGAUGCCUCUAUGUGGACGAUCUUAAAGAAAUAUCAUUCACUUCUUGUUAUCAGCUGAUUUAUUUGACUGCGUAUAAUUAGGAAAGUGAUCAAGUAUACAAGGAGCUAGGAUUUGGGAACAGAAUCACAGUCAUAUAGUUUAUGUGGUUUUUUCUCUAACUCUUCUCAUGUGUAUUAGUUUCUGGUUUUCUGGUUUUUUAGGUGAAGGCUUAAGGCUUUUUUCCUUUUAGGGGAGGCCUUAGUGUAUCCAUCUGUUUGAUGUUGCUGCUACUGGUGCUAAUUUAAUUUUCGCUUUGACACUUUAUUGGUGUUUGUUGUAGCUAGCCGGGUGUUUUUAAGUUCUUUCUUCUAGUGGUCAAGGCUUGAAGAUCUUGUUCACAAAUGUUUCUUGUUUCUCAAUUAUUUCAUUAUAGUUGCUAUCUUUGAUAUGUCAUGCAUGGGAUGAUAUCCUGUAAUCUUAACAAAUUAUCUAGUUGCAUGAUGGGAAUGCGGUACUGGAUGCAAUUGGGUUAUUAAUGCCAUUUUAUUUUAUAACACAGUAUUAAUUUAUUUUGAAUUAUCUUGUAUUUGUAAUAUAACUUUUUGUGGCAGAUUUGUUGCUUUGUAAUUUUCUUAGUAUCAGGUGCAACACUAUGUAACAAAACAGGUUGAUAAAUGAUUUUUUUUAUUUU